rnacentral:rRNA from 1 species
ACUCCUACGGGAGGCAGCAGUGAGGGAAUAUUGGUCAAUGGACGCAAGUCUGAACCAGCCAUGUCGCGUGCAGGAAGACUGCCCCUAUGGGUUGUAAACUGCUUUUUAUACGGGAAGAAAUAUAGCUACGUGUAGUUAUUUGCCGGUACCGUAUGAAUAAGCAUCGGCUAACUCCGUGCCAGCAGCCGCGGUAAUACGGAGGAUGCGAGCGUUAUCCGGAUUCAUUGGGUUUUAAAGGGUGCGUAGGCGGAAGUAUAAGUCAGGGGUGAAAGUUUGUGGCUCAACCAUAAAAUUGCCUUUUGAUACUGUAUUUCUUGAGUACAUUUGAGGUAGGCGGAAUGUGUUGUGUAG